UACGGGGGGUGCAAGCGUUGUCCGGAAUCAUUGGGCGUAAAGCGUUCGUAGGCGGUAUGUCAAGUCUGAUGUUAAAGCCCGGGGCUCAACUCCGGUUCGGCAUUGGAUACUGGCAAACUAGAAUGUGGUAGAGGUAAAGGGAAUUCCUGGUGUAGCGGUGAAAUGCGUAGAUAUCAGGAGGAACAUCGGUGGCGAAAGCGCUUUACUGGACCAUUAUUGACGCUGAGGAACGAAAGCCAGGGGAGCAAAUGGG
rnacentral:rRNA from 1 species